rnacentral:misc_RNA from 1 species
GAUGAAGAACGUAGUGAAAUGCGAUAGGUAAUGCGAAUUGCAGAAUUUCCGUGAGUCAUCGAAUCUUUGAACGCACAUUGCGCCCACUGGUAUUCCGGUGGGCAUGCCUGUUCGAGCGUCAUUAUCCUCCCUCAAACCCCGGGUUUGGUGUUGGACCCAAGUUGUGUGAACAACUGGUCUCAAAGACAAUGACGGCGUCCGUGGGACCCUCGGUGCAACGAGCUUUUAGGAGCACGCGCCGAGUUGCAAGGACCUUCCGGGCCGGUCUCCUUUACUAUUUUACAAGGUUGACCUCGGAUCAGGUAGGAAUACCCGCUGAACUUAAGCAUAUCAAUAAGCGGAGGA